CCCUUAGAUGUCCUGGGCCGCACGCGCGCUGCACUGAGUGUCUGAGAUACGAGUCUGCCUGGUCCGGCAAGGUCUAGGUAAUCGCUAAAAGACACAUCAUGCUUGGGAUAGAUUAUUGCAAAUAUUAAUCUUGAACGAGGAAUUCCUAGUAAGCGCAAGUCAACAGCUUGCGUUGAUUACGUCCCUGCCCUUUGUACACACCGCCCGUCGCUACUACUGAUUGGAUGUUUAAGCGAGGUUCUCGAACUGCUAGCGACUUAGCUUCGGUGAGGUCGCAGUGUGGGAAGUGAACCGAGCUUUGGUGUCUAGAGGAAGUAAAAGUCGUAACA
rnacentral:rRNA from 1 species